GUUAUAGAGUAAGGGUGUGUUUGGUAAAAAGAAGAGAAAUAAAGACCCCUUGAGAAGGGUAGGUUCUGGUUAUUUCAUAGAUCUAACACAGACGUCCACAACUUUCUUGCAAUGAGAAAAACCCGGUAAAUCUUCUCCGCAACUCUUGCCUCAGGGUUAGGCACUAAAAACGCUUAAGUCCAAAAAUUAAAAUUUCAAAAAGAAAGUUUGAAUGUUUGAAUUUAGUCCCUGGUAGAUGACCUCAUUGGACACUUUUGUCUAAGUGAUAUAUAGCAAUGGGCAUGCUAGAAUGUCACUUUCACUCAUUGGUAGUCUAUUGAUGUUUCAUCCCUGGUAGAUAUUCUGACAUCAUAAAUCUUUCGUCUAGCAAGUCAUGUAGGCUAUAGCAUGCUGGAAUCUCACUUUUAGUCAUUGCCAUUGGUGUUACGAGUGUCAAUUUUUCACAUUUUCUGUGACAUGGAACGAGGAAAGAAUCACACAAUAUCCCCCCCAUCCACAGGCUUGUUGUAGUAACACAAAUGUGUGUUAAUUCGCUUCUUUGUUACAACUAAAUUUAAAUUCCGACAUCCAUGCAUCUUCAUCAAACAACUUUCUGAAGUUGUCGAAUUCGAUCUUAGGAUUCUAGACUGCACUUGACACUUGCUCCGGCAUUUGGUGUCGCAUCUCUUCGGCGAUUAACCGCUUUGAUAGAAGAACUUCCUCUGCCUUCUUGCUCCCGAUGAACCAAGUCAAGAAAACUGAAUUAACAUAGUUGAUUAAUGUUUUGAAUGUGUUUUGAUGUGAAAAUUUUAUCUUACUAUGUUUCUGGUCUGAUUUCUUUUUCUUAUCGAAUGGCUUAGGAGCAUUCUUUGGGUGGUCCAGCUUUCUCGUUCCUCGUGGGCGUCCAGCGCGAUUUUUGGUGUUGGGGAGCAUUAAGAGCAUCAGAUUUUCAUCCACUCUUGCUCCUUUUUGUCUUAGUUGAUCCUCCUCAACUUCUACAGUAGUCGGUACCCCAUUCGUUCCAUAUGAAUGGUCCAAAUGAACCACUACAGCAGCAUUUUCGAUUUCAUCCGUAAUUGGAAAGACUGGAUCGCCCGAAGCUGGAACGACCGGAUCAGCCACUGCUGGAUUGACCGGAUCAGCCACUGCUGGAUCGACCGGAUCAGCCACUGCUGGAUCGACCGGAUCAGCCACUGUUGGAACGACCAGAUCAACCACUGCUGGAACGACCGGAUCAGCUACUGCUGAUGGAGUUUUAAUCGGUUUUAAAUUCCUCCAAUACUUGAAGGUAUCCUUCGAAGGCUAGCAGGGGGACAUUUUGGAGUUCAUUCGUCAGGCUUUUGGUCGAUUGAAGAGCUCUAUUGAACAUGUCGUCACGGGUUGUUCUAACUCUAUUUCGUUGCUGUUCAAGGACUAUUGGAGACCAAGCUUCCUGAGAUUCGUCUUGUAUCGAUUCCUGAUUUAAAUAAUGAACGAGUUGUUAAGGGUACCAGGAUUUACUCCUUUUCGGACAGAAAUAGUAGGUGUCUGCAGGGAAGACCAAAGUUCUGGAAAAACGUGCAAGAGCAUUCGGUCAGAUCCGUUUUUGCAGUGUAGAGCUCUGUGUGACUUGCUACAAUAUAUGUGUUCUUGUCCUGCAAGGGAUGUAGUUGUUGCCGCAAGUUGGUCAACUACACGAUCCACCGCGUAUGGUGUGUACACUUUACGCAAUCUUUCGAGAACAGGAUUCAAUUUUUGAACAGGAAAUCGGAUCUGUAUUUCAUUCCCCUUCUUGUUUCGGUCGAACUCCCUCAAUUGACUAAUGUCAAGCAAUACCUGGAUUAACUCGGGAAAUGUUUUCCAUCUCCAGCAUCUCGCUCUUCCUGAUUCAUGAUUCAACAUUUCAGUCCUCUUUUGCGACCGCCGCAAAUUUUUAUCUACAAGCAGUCCCAAAGGGAAUAUAGGUUCGCGAACGGUCGAGAUCUUAUACAACUUUCGAAACUCGAUUCUGAGGUGACUUUCCUAGAAUUUUUUCAUCGAGCCGGAAUAUCCAAUGUUAAAAUCCGAUGAAAGCCCAGCCUUAAAUAUCUCUUUUCACGCAAUUUGUAACAAAGUGAAAUACUGAAAUGAUAUUUAAAAUCAAA
rnacentral:lncRNA from 1 species